GUCCGAUUAGGUAGUUGGUGAGGUAACGGCCCACCAAGCCGACGAUCGGUAGCCGACCUGAGAGGGUGAUCGGCCACAUUGGGACUGAGACACGGCCCAAACUCCUACGGGAGGCAGCAGUGGGGAAUAUUGGGCAAUGGGGGGAACCCUGACCCAGCAACGCCGCGUGGAGGAAGAAGGUUUUCGGGUCGUAAACUCCUGUCCUUGGAGACGAGUAGAAGACGGUAUCCAAGGAGGAAGCCCCGGCUAACUACGUGCCAGCAGCCGCGGUAAUACGUAGGGGGCAAGCGUUGUCCGGAAUAAUUGGGCGUAAAGGGCGCGUAGGCGGCUCGGU
rnacentral:rRNA from 1 species